rnacentral:lncRNA from 1 species
GGCAUAAUAUUUAUUUUCCAUUAUAUCUCAUCUCAUUAAAUUAAUUUCAUAUUUAUUAUGACAACUAAAAACCCUAAUUUCUCUUCUUCCUCACUCAAGCCGCAUGCACGUAGGAUGGGUCUUCUUCUUCUCUGACCGAUUUUUUUCUUGUUCUUAUUCUCUGAUUGCUUCCAAACAUUAGUUCAUUGAUUCGACUUCUUAUUUGUGUUCUUCACCUUCUCAAUUAAUAAGUAUUUUUGUAUUUUUUUCUUUGAUUUUUUCAGCAUCAAU